rnacentral:rRNA from 1 species
UACGUAGGGUGCAAGCGUUAAUCGGAAUUACUGGGCGUAAAGCGUGCGCAGGCGGUGAUGUAAGACAGGUGUGAAAUCCCCGGGCUUAACCUGGGAACUGCCUUUGUGACUGCAAGGCUUGAGUGCGGCAGAGGGGAUGGAAUUCCGCGUGUAGCAGUGAAAUGCGUAGAUAUGCGGAGGAACACCGAUGGCGAAGGCAAUCCCCUGGGCCUGCACUGACGCUCAUGCACGAAAGCGUGGGGAGCAAACAGG